CCCGCCCGGGCGCCCACAGGUGCAGCGCCCCCAGCUCCUCCAGCACCCUGCGCGCUUCCACUGCCGCCGGCCACCUGGGCCCCUGGAGCAAUGGGUGGGGGAGUGUGGGGCCAGGAGAGGGGCAGUGCUGGAGCUGGGGAAGAACGAGCCAAAGGAGAAAGGAGCCGGACCUAGUGAAGAAGCUGACGACCCAUUUACUUACCCUUGAAAGAAAGGUCAGGCGGGAUGGAACAAACAUCAGAGGUGGAGGGGAGUGAAAGUUAAAAGGGAAAGGGUCUGUAAAGAUGAUUCUUAUUUGACCACGGUAACUAAGAACUUCUGACCUCCAACUCAGUCCUUUUUUGUUUGCCUCCAAUCUCAUUUAUUACUCUAUUUUCUCCAUAGAAUUUAUUUCCUUGUUCUUUAUUGUGUCUAGAAUAUUCUAGAAUUAUCCAGAUGUAGUCCCGCCCCUUGACCUGAAGGAGCAUCAGUCACUAAGCCUCGGUCUACAGUGGGGCUAGUGGGAGGGAAAGCGUGUGGUCUUGGCUCAGUCGGGGGGAGGGGGCUUCCUUCCUGAGAAGUCAGCGUUUGUCUGCUAGCUUCCCUGCAAGCUCUUUUCUUCCCCUCCCACCCCUGCCAACGCUGACCCUUGGGUUACUUUUUCCUGAGUGUCCUUUGAAAGUCUUCCCCAAAUAAUAAAUAUUUGUUAAAAUGCA